rnacentral:rRNA from 1 species
CCCAGACUCCUACGGGAGGCAGCAGUGAGGAAUAUUGGUCAAUGGCCGGAAGGCUGAACCAGCCAAGCCGCGUGAAGGACGAAGGUGCCAAGCAUUGUAAACUUCUUUUGUCAAGGGACAAAAUCAGGCUCGAGAGCCUGACCGAGGGUACUUGAAGAAAAAGCAUCGGCUAACUACGUGCCAGCAGCCGCGGUAAUACGUAGGGGGCGAGCGUUAUCCGGAUUUACUGGGUGUAAAGGGAGCGUAGACGGUUUUUCAAGUCUGAAGUGAAAGCCCGCGGCUCAACUGCGGAACGGCUUUGGAAACUGAGGGACUAGAGUGCUGGAGGGGCAGGCGGAAUUCCUGGUGUAGCGGUGAAAUGCGUAGAUAUCAGGAGGAACACCGGUGGCGAAGGCGGCCUGCUGGACAGUAACUGACGUUGAGGCUCGAAAGCGUGGGGAGCAAACAGGAUUAGAUACCCCAGUAU